UAGCAACAAGCCUGAACGGCUCAGUUCUCUCUAGAACUGAUUGGCUUAUUGCUGCGAUGUUGUGUUUGCAAAACUCGCCUUUCGAGUUUAGGUAGAAUUCUACCAUUCGUUUAGUGGUCACCUCCUUGACGGCUAAACCAUACUUCCUGUAUUCAUUUUGACCUGUCUGUCAAAAAGAUUUUUAGCACCGCCUCCCUAAGGCGGUGUUUUUUUAU
rnacentral:other from 1 species